GGCCCAAAUCUGAAGUAGAUUAGAUUAAUAGGAUUAGCUGAUACUAGUGACCUACUCUACUUCGAAUUUGGGCCC
rfam:Haemonchus contortus, ISE/inbred ISE, WGS project CAVP01000000 data, contig: Hcontortus_38639